rnacentral:rRNA from 1 species
CAGGCUUAACACAUGCAAGUCGAGGGGUAACAGGAGGAAGCUUGCUUCUUGCUGACGACCGGCGAACGGGUGCGUAACGCGUAUAGAAUCUNCCUUGUACAGGAGGAUAGCCUUUAGAAAUGAAGAUUAAUACUCCAUAGUGUAUAGAAGUGGCAUCACUUUUUUACUAAAGAUUUAUUGGUACAAGAUGACUAUGCGUCCUAUUAGCUAGAUGGUAAGGUAACGGCUUACCAUGGCUACGAUAGGUAGGGGGUCUGAGAGGACUAUCCCCCACACUGGUACUGAGACACGGACCAGACUCCUACGGGAGGCAGCAGUGAGGAAUAUUGGUCAAUGGAGGCAACUCUGAACCAGCCAUGCCGCGUGCAGGAAGACUGCCCUAUGGGUUGUAAACUGCUUUUAUACGGGAAGAAACAGCUCUACGAGUAGAGCCUUGACGGUACCGUAAGAAUAAGCACCGGCUAACUCCGUGCC